GUUAUGGCGGGCCGUGUGUGGGAGGCUACGGCCUGCCGGGUUCCUUCUUUCCCCGGUCUGUCAACCCGCGCACGGUCCGCCCCCAU
rnacentral:antisense_RNA from 1 species